rnacentral:rRNA from 1 species
GACGAACGCUGGCGGCGUGCUUAACACAUGCAAGUCGAACGGAAAGGCCCUGCUUUUGUGGGGUGCUCGAGUGGCGAACGGGUGAGUAACACGUGAUUAACCUGCCCUUGACUUUGGGAUAACUUCAGGAAACUGGGGCUAAUACCGGAUAGGAGCUCCUGCUGCAUGGUGGGGGUUGGAAAGUUUCGGCGGUUGGGGAUGGACUCGCGGCUUAUCAGCUUGUUGGUGGGUUAGUGGCUUACCAAGGCUUUGACGGGUAGCCGGCCUGAGAGGGUGACCGGCCACAUUGGGACUGAGAUACGGCCCAGACUCCUACGGGAGGCAGCAGUGGGGAAUAUUGCACAAUGGGCGGAAGCCUGAUGCAGCAACGCCGCGUGCGGGAUGACGGCCUUCGGGUUGUAAACCGCUUUCGCCUGUGACGAAGCGUGAGUGACGGUAAUGGGUAAAGAAGCACCGGCUAACUACGUG